UACGUAGGGACCGAGCGUUGUCCGGAAUCAUUGGGCGUAAAGAGCGUGUAGGCGGCUUGCUAAGUCUUGCGUGAAAUCUCGGGGCUCAACCCCGAGCGGUCGUGGGAAACUGGCAGGCUAGAGUGCGGGAGAGGAGAAUGGAAUUCCUGGUGUAGCGGUGAAAUGCGCAGAUAUCAGGAAGAACACCCGUGGCUAAGGCGGCUCUCUAGUACGGUACUGACGCUGAGACGCGAAAGCGUGGGGAGCGAACAGG
rnacentral:rRNA from 1 species